CUGAUUGAUCCUUCCAGUACUCAUGUGCUUGUCUCAAAGAUUAAGCCAUGCUUGGGUAAGUAUGAACAAAUUCAGACUGUGAAACUGCGAAUGGCUCAUUAAAUCAAUUAUAGUUUAUUUGAUGGUAUCUACUACUCGGAUAUCCGUAGUAAUUUUAGAGCUAAUACGUACAACAAACCCUGAAUUCUGGAUGGGAUGCAUUUAUUAGAUAAAAGGUCGAUGCGGGCUCUGCCCAUUGCUGUUAUGAUUUAUGAUAACUCAAUGGAUCGCACGGCCAUCGUGCCAGCAAUGCAUCAUUUAAAUUUCUGUCCAGUCAAGUUUCGAUGGUAGGAUAGUAGCCUACCAUGGUGGUGAUGGGUGAUGGAGAAUUAGGGUUUGAUUUUGGAGAGGGAGACUAAGAAAUGGCUGCCAUAUCCAAAGAAGGCAGCAGGCGUGCAAAUUACCCAAUCGUGACACGGGGAGGUAGUGACAAUAAAUAACAAUACUGGGCUCAAUUAGUCUGGUAAUUGGAAGGAGUACAAUCUAAAUCCCUUAACGAGAAUCUAUUAGAGGGAGAGUUUGGUGCCAGCAUCCACGGUAUUUCCCGCACCAAUAGCAUAUAUUUAAGUUGUUGCAGUUACAAAUCUCGAAGUUGGACUUUGGGAUUGGCUGUUCGGUCCACCUAUGGUGUGCAUUGGUCAUUUCGUUCCUUCUGUCGGCGAUGCACUCCUGCCCUGAACUAGUUGAGUUAUGCCUCCGGCGCUGUUACUUUGAAGAAAUUAGAGUUCUUAAUGCAAGCUUAUGCUCUGUAUACAUUAGCAUGGGAUAAUGUUACAGGAUUUCGGUCCUAUUACGUUAGCCUUUGGGAUCAGAGUAGUGAUUAACAGGGACAAUCGGGGGCAUUCAUAUUUCAUAGUCAGAGGUGAAAUUAUUGGAUAUAUGAAAUACGAACAACUACGAAAGAAUUUUCCAAGGAUGUUUUCAUUAAUCAAGAAUAAAAUUUGGGGGCUCGAAGGAGGUCAGAUACCGUCCUCAUCUCAAUCAUAAACGAUGCCAACCAGGGAUCGGCGGAUGUUGCCUUUUGGACUCCACUGGCACUUGAUGAAAAUUCAAACUUUUUGGGUUCCG
rnacentral:ncRNA from 1 species